CACCAGGUUGAUUCUGCCUGACGUGGACGCUUGCCUUGAAGAUUAAGCCAUGCAAGCCUGUGAAUACUUGAAACAGUGAACGGCUCAGUAUAACACGUCUAUCUACCCACNAACCCUAAUAACCACGGUAAACUGUGGCUAAGGUAGUGGAUGAGGAUGUGACCUAUCAGCUUUGUCGGUACGAUAAGUGCGUACCGUGGCUAUAACGGGUAACGGGGAAUAUGGGUUUUAUUCCGGAGAGGGAGCCUGAGAGAUGGCUGCCACGUCCAAGGACGGCAGCAGGCGCGAAACUUACCCAAUGAACAUUGAGGUAGUUACGAGGCGUAAGUUAUAUUGAGUGAAUAAAAUACACUCAUAAAUAUUGGAGGGCAAGUCUGGUGCCAGCAGCCGCGGUAAUACCAGCUCCAAUAGCGUCUGUGUUUAUUGCUGCGGUUAAAACGUGCGUAGUCUGGUUUAUAGCCUGAGUUAAAUACGUGUGCUUUAAGCAUGAAGUAUGUCAGGGACUUAGACCUUGGGAUAGGGACGGGGCAAUGAUAUUCGGCAGCGAGAGGUGAAAAUCGAUGACCUGCUGAGGAGCAACAGAGGCGAAAGCGGUUGUCCAGAACUAGUCCGACGAUCAAGCACGUGAGCAGGAGUAUCGAAGGCGAUUAGAGACCGUCGUAGUUCCUAGCAGUAAACGAUGCCAACACUGUGGUGGAAUGUCACUGCAGAAGCGAAAGCUAGUGUGUAGGCUCCGGGGAUAGUACGGACGCAAGUUUGAAACUUGAAGAAAUUGACGGAAGGACACCACAAGGAGUGGAGUGUGCGGGUUAAUUUGACUCAACGCGGGAAAACUUACCUGAGGCAGGCUGUUAGUAGGAGAUUGCUUAGCAAGAUACUGCAGCGCGUGGUGCAUGGCCGUUCUUAACACGUGGGGUGACCUGUCUGGUCAAAUCUGAUAACGCGUGAGAGGUGGAUUCUAUUGUAAAAGGUAGAGACGGUGUAUGUAAGUACAAGGAAGCACCACCCAAUAACAAGUCUGUGAUGCCCGUAGAUGUCCAGGGCUCCACGCGCACUACAGUUUAGUGAAGUGUGUGGAGAGUGAUUUGCUAGGUAGUUGGGAUUGAUGUAUGUAAUUAUGUCAUGAACGUGGAAUUCCUAGUAGUUGGUAGUCACUAACGACCAACGAAUAUGUCCCUGUUCUUUGUACACACCGCCCGUCGUUAUCUAAGAUGGAAGUGUGGGUNAANUCCAUAGCGAGCUUAGCGAGGUAGUGAUUAUGCACGAGUUAGGUUAGUUAUGGAAAGAACCCAUGCAGCUAGAUUGGAUGUAAGUCGUAACAAGGNNNNNNNNNNNNNNNNNNNNNNNNNNNNNNNN
rnacentral:rRNA from 16 species